rnacentral:misc_RNA from 1 species
AACAAGGCGUACCUGCGGACCUGCGGAGGGAUCAUUAACCUUUCAAAAAACAGGGUGCGUCGCGGCCCCCCUCCGGGGGCGGUUUGGGGUCCUCCCCUUCACGCGCGCACGACUGCAUCCUUACUUUACGAGCACCUUCUGUUCUCCCUCGGCGGGGCAACCUGCCGUUGGAACCGAAUAAACCCUUUUUUGCAUCCAGCAUUACCCGUUCCGAAACAAACAAUCGUUACAACUUUCAAC